UUGACGGGGGCCCGCACAAGCGGCGGAGCAUGCGGAUUAAUUCGAUGCAACGCGAAGAACCUUACCAAGGCUUGACAUACACCGGUAACGCCCAGAGAUGGGUGCCCCUUUGUGGUCGGUGUACAGGUGGUGCAUGGUUGUCGUCAGCUCGUGUCGUGAGAUGUUGGGUUAAGUCCCGCAACGAGCGCAACCCUCGUCCUAUGUUGCCAGCGGGUCAUGCCGGGGACCCAUGGGAGGACUGCCGGGGUCGAACUCGGAGGAAGGUGGGAGUGACGUCAAAUCAUCAUGCCCCUUACUGUCUUUGGGCUUCACGCAUGCUACAAUGGCCGGUACAAAGGGCUGCGAUACCGCGAGGUGGAGCGAAUCCCAGAAAGCUGGUCUCAGUUCGGAUUGGGGUCUGCAACUCGACCCCAUGAAGUCGGAGUCGCUAGUAAUCGCAGAUCAGCAACGCUGCGGUGAAUACGUUCCCGGGCCUU
rnacentral:rRNA from 1 species